rnacentral:rRNA from 1 species
UCCUACGGGAGGCAGCAGUGGGGAAUAUUGCACAAUGGGCGCAAGCCUGAUGCAGCCAUGCCGCGUGUAUGAAGAAGGCCUUCGGGUUGUAAAGUACUUUCAGCGGGGAGGAAGGGAGUAAAGUUAAUACCUUGCUCAUUGACGUACCGCAGAAGAGCCCCGUCCCU